CAGGACGAACGCUGGCGGCGUGCUUAACACAUGCAAGUCGAGCGAUGAAGCUUCUCGGAAGUGGAUUAGCGGCGGACGGGUGAGUAACACGUGGGUAACCUGCCUCAUAGAGGGGAAUAGCCUUCCGAAAGGAAGAUUAAUACCGCAUAAGAUUGUAAUAUUGCAUGGUAUAGCAAUUAAAGGAGUAAUCCGCUAUGAGAUGGACCCGCGUCGCAUUAGCUAGUUGGUGAGGUAACGGCUCACCAAGGCGACGAUGCGUAGCCGACCUGAGAGGGUGAUCGGCCACAUUGGGACUGAGACACGGCCCAGACUCCUACGGGAGGCAGCAGUGGGGAAUAUUGCACAAUGGGGGAAACCCUGAUGCAAGCAACGCCGCGUGAGUGAUGACGGUCUUCGGAUUGUAAAGCUCUGUCUUCAGGGACGAUAAUGACGGUACCUGAGGAGGAAGCCACGGCUAACUACGUGCCAGCCGCGGC
rnacentral:rRNA from 1 species